GCAGUGCAGCCUGCGUCCCGCCCCCGCCUGCGGCUUACCUAGGGUCGGAACAGGUUCCCUGCCGGCUUCACCUUGCCUGGCUACCAACAGCAACCUCGUUGGAUUCCCAGACUUUUGUCCUUCACAAAGGGCUGCGGCCCCCGAGUCCUGAGCUCUGGACUCCUGUGGCCUAGAUUCCUCAGACGUCAAGUCAGAACUAAGAUCAACCUCCAGACAGUAUGAACUAGCCUACUGGUCUAGCUCCAUGUAGCAUGCAGGGUUUAGCAGGAAGUAGUAGCCACAACAAUGUGCCUGUCUGGCCACCACCAGCCUCACUUCCAGCAGAUGAUGAUGUUGGGGUCGUUUUCAAGCCGCUCAUCCAGCUCACGGUAGCUCAUGCCUGGCAGAUCUCAUCAUAGCUGUGGCAGCCUGUGUAAAGUCGGGCAGGGUGGCUCCACUCUUCCCGAGAUACCCUCACGGGAUACUUCUGUAGUCGCCGAAUCAGGUUCUUCAUAAGCCCGAACUGGAUCAAUUUCCUAGAGGCUGGGCCAUACCAAUGGGCAGAGUACACUGGCCUGAGGCAUUCAGCUCCUCCAGCAAGAUGGUCAUGAUGGGCACCAACUUCUGUUUGCUCUCCUCCGUGGAAACGAAGCUGCUCUCUAGCUGGACAGAGUAUGGACGUGGUCUUAAUCAAGGGAUAUUCAUGGGCCACCCAUCGGCCACCCACAGCCCGAUUUCCUACCAACACUGCUUAUGUGCGCUGUCUCCUCCCACCCCGCCACACCAGGAACCCAGGACCUGGGUCUGAGUAUCCUCUCGGCUCUUGGUUGUUCGCGAAUGAAGGAGUGGCGUGCCCACGUGCAGCGCGGGGAUU